AUGGAAACCUCGGCCAAGCUGAACCACCAGGUGACCGAGGCCUUCGGCGCCAUUGCCCAGGAGCUUUGGCGCAGAGAAGAGAGGAAGGAGGACCAGCAGCAGCAGAGAGACGCACAGCUGGAUCUGAACCAGAGGCCCUCGGCGCAGGCCAGAUGCUGCGCCCGCUAGAAGCAGCCUCUCCAGGAGGGGCCGUGGGGAGGAGGCCCCCAGCCCGGGCCCUGCCCGCUCCGUGUUGACCAGAUACUUAUCCCGAUUCGCCGUCGAUGCUGGCUUGUUCCUGAGUCCCGGCGGCUCUGGAAGCUGGCAUCCCCCUGAAUUACCUCCUCCCAGAGCUGGCGGGAAUCCUUCAAGCCAAGGGCCCAUAUCCAGUGGCUCCAGAGGGUGUCGGCCCCCUGUCCCCCAGACGCCAGAUACAGACUGAACCUCGGAGGCCCAGGAUGUGGCCCCUCGGCUGCCUGGCCAUCAGACACCGAGGGUUGAAACGGUCGGAGGCAAAGCGAGAGUGGGAAAACUACCCUCACCCAGCACGUAUUUGGUGUCGGGCAGGAACUUGCCCCCAGAGGUGGAAAAGGACAGAGCAGGCCCAGGUGGAGCUGGCAGUGCCAGGGAGAGGUGGAGGGAUGGUCGCGGGGCUGGGCCCAUCGUCACUGGAUCUCUGUGAGGUCCCCCAGCAGCACAGAGGGCAACUGGGGUGGGGGUGGGGCGCCAGGCCCCUCCCCUCUGAUGAAAUGAUGCUUACGGGCAUGAGGACUCAGGCUGUCCGCCCGAGGGGUACGUUGUACCGUGUAUGCGUUUUUCUCCAAAAAGUAAACCUUUCUCUAUCCCGUGGUCUUUGGUAGUUGGUACCAUGGGGGAUUGUUCCCGCAUGUCCUCUGGGGGGGUUUGUGAUGAGUAGAUAACAGGGACCCAGGCAGCCGGCACAGGACACCUUCGUGAUGCUGACAUGUCAUUAUGUGCUCACCUCCUUCCUGCCUUAGAGAGAGGCCCCCAUGGCCCUUCUGGGAGGUGAGCCAGCGGCCAUGUGAAGGUGGCUGCUGUGCGAGGUGAUGCUGGUUUCGGCCCCUGAGACUGAUGCAGAGGGAUGGAGUUUUAAACGAGACGAUGUUAUCCCCUCUGAAAAAGGGGCUUUCGCUGUGGCAGCUGUGAGCAUCAACAGGACACCUGCGAGGCAUCCUUCCCCUGGGCGCCCAGCUCCUUGACGUCCACACAGCGCUCCCAUGGCAUCUGUCUUAGACACUUUCCAGGUGACGCCUGACACCUGACUGCUGCAGUUUCUGGCUGCAGUCAGGUUUUUCACACGGCGGUUCCCUCGUGGAUGAAGUUCGCGAGGUGUGAGCCUGCUUUACCGUGCUGGGUCCUCGUGCUCUCUGCCCUCAAGUCCACGUAGGAGGUCUGUGACCGCCCCCCCGCCCCCCGCAAAGGGCAGGACCCACUUAGGAGGCUGAGGUUGCCCUUGGCCGCGAGGUGGCGCUGCAGUAUCGCUGAAGGCGAAGCCCACGGCUCCCGGUCUCUGGGUCAGCUUUACGCCCCGGAGGACGCAAGGCUUUGAGGGGAGUUUCUCCUGUGUUGAAGAGGACAUAGGAAAUGGGGAAAUAAUGGUAUCUAGAGGAUGCCCAUAUAUCUGAUUGAUUUCCUCCCGUCUUGUCAGGCCAGGAUCUCUGUGCUACAAUUUAUUAUUAAAGCAUCCUUCCAUCCUCG
rnacentral:lncRNA from 1 species